rnacentral:rRNA from 1 species
AGAGUUUGAUCCUGGCUCAGGAUGAACGCUGGCGGCGUGCCUAAUACAUGCAAGUCGAGCGAAUGGAUUAAGAGCUUGCUCUUAUGAAGUUAGCGGCGGACGGGUGAGUAACACGUGGGUAACCUGCCCAUAAGACUGGGAUAACUCCGGGAAACCGGGGCUAAUACCGGAUAACAUUUUGAACCGCAUGGUUCGAAAUUGAAAGGCGGCUUCGGCUGUCACUUAUGGAUGGACCCGCGUCGCAUUAGCUAGUUGGUGAGGUAAUGGCUCACCAAGGCAACGAUGCGUAGCCGACCUGAGAGGGUGAUCGGCCACACUGGGACUGAGACACGGCCCAGACUCCUACGGGAGGCAGCAGUAGGGAAUCUUCCGCAAUGGACGAAAGUCUGACGGAGCAACGCCGCGUGAGUGAUGAAGGCUUUCGGGUCGUAAAACUCUGUUGUUAGGGAAGAACAAGUGCUAGUUGAAUAAGCUGGCACCUUGACGGUACCUAACCAGAAAGCCACGGCUAACUACGUGCCAGCAGCCGCGGUAAUACGUAGGUGGCAAGCGUUAUCCGGAAUUAUUGGGCGUAAAGCGCGCGCAGGUGGUUUCUUAAGUCUGAUGUGAAAGCCCACGGCUCAACCGUGGAGGGUCAUUGGAAACUGGGAGACUUGAGUGCAGAAGAGGAAAGUGGAAUUCCAUGUGUAGCGGUGAAAUGCGUAGAGAUAUGGAGGAACACCAGUGGCGAAGGCGACUUUCUGGUCUGUAACUGACACUGAGGCGCGAAAGCGUGGGGAGCAAACAGGAUUAGAUACCCU